GGCAGGCAGAGUAUUUUCUGAUUUGGAUGAGUUCAUAAGACAUGUACAUUAUGGGAAUUAUAUGAUUGCUCCACCUGCAUCACAUCUGGACCACCUCUGGACUGAGCUGUAGGGAUGCAGGGAAACCCUGCUAAGUGUCAAGCUGCACCCUGUCCUGCUGGUGCCCAUGCCUAGACCCUCAUUCCAUUGUUCACAGAAUUCUAUGCCUUGGGAUUUUGUCUCUACUUGUCCAGAACUCCUAAUUCCUUCACUCUUCCACAUUCUAGGUCCUCCUCUAUCAAUUUAAGUACCAGAUCCCUGUCAGCUGCCUUCCCCAGACAUUAAGUCAGAAGCUCAGUUUGAUGGCAGGGUGUGUGUUUCCAGGGAACAUGCUCUUUUGCCUGCAGCCACAUAAGACAUACCUUUGCUCCAUCUUUACCUUCUGCCACGAUUAUGAGGCCUCCCCAGCCACAUGAAACGGGGGAAGUAUGUAAUGAUGUUUGUGACAAAAAAUAAAUGUGAUCAACUGGUAAAAACAGCCUGAUGUUGUGUCUUCAGUGAAUGUUCCCACUAGCCAGGCUGAGCUUAAGGUGUAUGGUCAACUAAACAAUCCAAAAACCAUGUAGCUCCACAAUAAUCAGAAAUUCUGGAUCCAGUAAAACAAGUCUCCUUUAAGACAUGGCUGAAUGCUGGAAGAAAGUAAAGAAAGUUCCUGGAGUCAAAGAUGAAGUGAGAAGGAAAAAUCAGAGCAGUGAAUGCAGUCUCACCCUGUUGCCCAGGCUGGAAUGCAGUGGCACCAUCCUGGCUCACCACAACCUCCACCUACUGGGUUCAAGCGAUUCUCCUGCCCCAGCCUUCCAAGUAGCUGGGACUACAGGUGUUUCUGUAUUUUUAGUAAAGAUGGGGUUUCGCCAUGUUGGCCAGGGUGGUCUCGAACUCCUGACCUCAGGUAAUCCACCUGCCUUGGCCUCCCAAACUGCUGGGAUUACAGGUGUGAGCCACCACACCUGGCCAGAACUCUACUCUUCAGGAACUUAGUGCAUCAGGUACUCAACAGUAAGUAGCGUGAUGACUUAGGGGCAGGAAAAAAGGAGGCUGUUUCUAUCUUGGAACAUUUUAAUAACCUCCGAACAUUUUAUACGGAUAAAGCUGGGUUAAAACAGAUAUUAAGAGGUGCCUAGGAGAGAAAGGAUUGGGGUGGGAACUGGAAGAAAAUUGUAGGAAAGGGGAGGGUUGUUAUCUUGGAGCUGGAGAUGGCUUCGUCCUAGUGCAUCUGAGGGCUGUUUUUAAAUAGUGUCUGUCUGAAUCAUUCCUCCGCCCUCCACCCUUCACUUUCCACCCUCCACCCAACCCUCUUCCUGAGUCACCCUGGCUGCCAUUUCUCAUUCUGAAAGGAGAAAGAGGAAAGGAUAUAAUUUGUAUCAAAUCCCUACAAGCUGCUAGGAUACAUUGGUGCAUUUCCUUUGGAACAUUUCAUCUACACAUACCACAGUGCAAUGGAUGCGAGUUCUUCUGUGUAAAGAUGGGGAAACUGAGGUGCAAAGGGGUAGGUAGCAUGACUCUCCCCUUAUUACACAGCUGGUAAGAGAAAGUGCCAUAAUGCAAACUCACAUUCUAAAUUAUAACUUUAUCAUUAAUAACGACUAGAACAUGCAUGCUGCUUUUUUUUUAAAGUUAAAAAAAAAAGCAGGUAAGUGUGAAACACAAAAAUCUUUCCUUCUCUACAUUCCAAAGUGUUUGGGGACACAUCCCUAUACAGUUUUUCUUGCAUCCACAAAUGUGUACUUACAUAUGUGACAUGUAACUGUAUAUGUGAACAUGAAAAUUUUGACAUAAAAGGGCAUUCUAACCAUAUUGCUCUACAAAUCACUUCUGUCACCUAAUGCUACAUCAUGGAUAUCCUUCCAUAAUGUCCACAUCUUUACAUGUACUUCAUUUUUCUAAGAUCUAUAUGAAAUUUAAUAAAUAUAUAUUAGGUAAGCAUUUUCUUAUUGAUGAGGAUGUCUCUAUUUUAAGAUUUAAUAUUAGUGCAGUAUUUAAUACUAGUUAAAGUAUUCUCUGUAUCUGAGUUUUAAAAUUUACUCAAAUGUAAUGCACAGGAAUUCUGAAAUGGAAAUUUAAGUAUCCCUUUCUCUCACCCUCCAUUCCAACUUCCAUUCCCCAGAGUUGCGAUGUUGCUAUUGUUGCUUUCGUGUUUUUCUUCUAGUACUUAACAUUUCAACUUUAAAUACAUAUAGUUCUUGAUUUAUCUGUUUUAGAAAGUAUCUGUUGUCUUGCCUCGAUGACAGCUGAGUUUACCAUACUUUUUUUUUUUUUUUUUUUGAGAGGGAGUCUCACUCCAUUGCCCAGCCUAGAGUGCAGUGCCACAAUCUCGGCUCGCUGCAACCUCCGCCUCCCAGGUUCAAGCAAUUCUCCUGCCUCAGCCUCCCAAGUAGCUGGGAUUACAGGUGCCCGCACCACGUCCAGCUAAUUUUUUUUAUUUUCAGUACAGACAGGGUUUCACCAUGUUGGCCAGGCUGGUCUCGAACUCCUGACCUCAGGUGAUCCACCCACCUUGGCCUCCCGAAGUGCUGGUAUUACAGGCGUGAGCCACCACACCUGGCCAAGUUUACCAUACUUGUGCUAUCUCUACCUCUUUCUUUUAAAUGUUAGUCAUAUUAAUAAUUUUUAAAUUAUUCAGUUUAAAUUUGUACUUUUCUAUAGAUAUGUCGUGUGAUUUGUCAAAAAAUUUAAAUUUUUGACAAAAUGUCUUAUGUACUUUGUCAAAAAAUUUAAAUUUUCAAAAAAUGUAAAAUCCAAUCUCAAAAAAUGUAUUCUGAUUAUGUAAAUAUUAUAUACUAUAGUUCCAAGAAGUAUGAUAGGAUCCAUAGGAAAGGAGACCCUGUCCUCUGUCACUUAACCAUGCUGGCUGCUUGAAGGAGAAGGAUUGAGAUCUAAUGGCUUAUGCUUUUAUUUCUUUUCAGUUUCCUCCUAAGCCAUACUGGGCUGCCACUGUUCUUCAUAUAUCAGGUUCAAGCUGAUGGAUCCAAGCCAAAGGACUCCAUAUUCUCCAAAGCCUAUAAGCAGAAUGCUGGUGUGGUGUGGGGGGGGAAGAAGUUCCAUUGUGUCCCUACUGAAGGGACACAGAAGUACCAAAAGGGUCACUGAACUGCCAGGUACCAAGUGGUACCAGGUGCCACGAGGCUGCCAAAGGCAGAGAUGAGCCAAGCCAUCAACUUCAGCUGAGGUUGAGACAUGGCAUCCAUAAAUGCCAAACAGGACCAUACUCUAUGCAGAGAAUAAGGAUCAGAAAAUCAAGUGCAAAACGGGAAGUCUCCCUAGAACCCACAUGUGCUGAUUCAAGACACCCUUAUUCUCAAGCCACAGUGUUACCUAUUCCCUUGCCCCGAACACCCAGAUACCAUUUUGGUGAGGAACAGGAGAAAGGAAAGGGAAUACAAUGUAAAAGGACUGUUUGAAUCAGAAGAGAUUGACAUAUUGAUAUUUGUCCAGUUCCAUGGUUUCUACCCCACACCCAAUAAGAAAGAGGCUUAAGAGGAACAUUAGUUCAUGAGACUAACUGGCUGUUCAUUAAACCCACAGCUGGACUACAUUUUCAGCCUUCCUUGCAGUUAGGUGUAACCAUGUGAAUGGAUCUGGCCAAUAAAAUUGAUCUUGGAAACCAGGUAUUGAAGAUGGUGAGGCCACAGAUGGAAGGCACCUGGAUCCAGAUUUAAAAGAGUUGCCUGCCAAUCAGGAACACCCUUUUUGAGCUUUGGGGAUGUGUUUUAGUUCUCAUAUUCCUGCAUAACAAACUACUCCAAAUUUAGUGGAUUAAAACAACAAUUUAUUAUAAUC